UGGGGAAUUUUGCACAAUGGGGGAAACCCUGAUGCAGCGACGCCGCGUGAUUUAGAAGGCCUUCGGGUUGUAAAAAUCUUUUUUACGGGAUGAAAAUGACAGUACCGUAAGAAUAAGGUCCGGCUAAAUACGUGCCAGCAGCCGCGGUAAUACGUAUGGACCGAGCGUUGUCCGGAAUCAUUGGGCGUAAAGGGUACGUAGGCGGCCUAGUAAGUUAGAAGUGAAAUAAUAUAGCUCAACUAUAUAAAGCUUUUAAAACUGCUAGGCUUGAGAGAUGGAAGGGAAAGUGGAAUUCCUAUUGUAGCGGUGAAAUGCGCAGAUAUUAGGAAGAAUACCGGUGGCGAAGGCGACUUUCUGGUCAUCAUCUGACGCUGAGGUACGAAAGCGUGGGUAGCAAACAGG
rnacentral:rRNA from 1 species